CACACACACACACACACACACACACACACACACACACACACACACACACACACACACACACACACACACACUGACUCCUCUCUGUGGUGGCCUGGGGGUGUAAUGUGUAAACAGUCCUCUGAGCCGUAAUUCCUGUAUGCCUGUCCUCUUUCCUACUGGAGCUUUAUUUUUUCUUUCCCUCUACUCUCAUUUCUGGGCCUAAAAUCAGGUUAGCGUUUUAUAAGGAGCUUAGCGCAGAGGGCCACAGUGUGCCACUAAUGUAAUAGAGUAUCCCUCUCUCUCCCCCUCUCGCUCUGCCUCUCUUAUUCUCUUCUGUCCUCUUUUCUCUUUGUGCAUUUGCUUACCCUGUCAUGGAGUGUCCUUCUCUCUCUCUCUGCCUUUCUUUUCUGUUUGUCCUUGCUCCUUCCCUCGCUCCCUUCCCUCCGCAUCUCCCUCCGUCUGCAGAUGGGGGACGACUCCAGCCUGAGGUUUAGACAUUAGGACAGUGACAAAGACGACAACACAACUCGUCCCAGAGAGGAGGAAGAGAAGCAGAGGUGCUGCUGUUAGACGCUGGUGAUCAGACAGAUGGAGUAUUUCUCUGGACAAACAGAAGAAAGCACUGAGGAUAAUUCAGGACAUAAAAAGUCCAAACUCAGGUCUCUGAAAACUCGUCUGUUCGGGAAAAGUAAGAGAGAAGGGGGAGAGGCAGAGGCCAAACUCAGCCAGUCAUCCAGUGACAUCACCGCGGGACAGGGACUCGGAUCUGAUGAGGAUUUGGCAUGCUCUCAAGGCAUCAUGGGAUUCCGGGCAUUGUCCCAUGACAGCAUCUUCCUGGCUGAUGAGGACCUGACAGCCGCUGAGCCAGCCAGGGUCUUAUCGCAGGAAAACGUCCACAGCAAGAUCAAAGCUCUGCAGUUGAAGCUGCAGCAGCAGAAGAUGCAUUUGGGACCGCCGCCUCUGGUUCUGCCAGUCAGACGUCCAGAGGAUGUGGGAAGCCGCUCCGAGGAUGAGCGUUUUCCCCACAGCCCCUCAGAGGCCUCCGGGACUCCCAGCAAGACCACAUCCCAGCCAUCCUCUCGUCCGCUCUCCCCAAUCCCCAAACCUGCACCGACCAAAUUUGUGCCCCUGAGUCCCUCCCUCCCUCUUCCUAUUUCUGUCUCCCCCAAUUCCUCUUCUUCUGUGGUUGAGACCCCGUUAGACUUCAGCUCUCCAGCCCAGUUCACCCCCUGCCUGGAUACAUCUGCUGCGCGCCACCGGAUGUCAAUCAAGCCCAGAAACCAGAGAGCCAGCACCAAGAAGAUUCCCCCUGCAAAUGACUCAGGACCUCAAUUACACAGCCUGAACAACAUCAACCAUCCUGAGUCUGUGAGAGAAGAACCGCAGCAGCUUAUUACUGAAGCUGAGGUGGCAUUGGAAAAAAUAGUGGACGUCAUUCCUUUUACAUCCCAGCUUCUUCCUAAAAAACCCCCGGAGGUGGCACCAGUUGCAUUAGAGGCAGCUUCCAUAUCAUCCAGCCUGCCGUUUUCCCCAAAGGAGCUUCCUGGGAAAUUGCCCUUCGUACCCUCCCAGGUACUCAGAGUAAAACCCAAUAGAUCAGCAGAUGUGAAGCCCAGUGAGCGGCCACACUCGUCCUUCAUACAGUCAGAGCGGAAGGACAGCAGAGAGGACUUAGACAUACAAUUACUGUACCACGACAAGAGAAAUAUGUUUAUAUCUGACCAGCACCCCACUCCCUCGAGCGCGGUUCCACAGCAGCUCCUAGGCGAGUCAGAAAUCACAAGAGAAAUACAGAGACCCCCCCCAGGAUCUGGCUCCUUCCCCUUCAAAGGCGAGUCAGAAAUCACAACAGGAAUAAAGAGACCCCCCCCAGGAUCUGGCUCCUUCCACUUCUCCAUCACCUCUGCCAAAAACCGGUCUGGAGAGAGACCCCGAUCAGGCAGUUUUGUCGAAAACACUGAAGCCCGGCAGAAGACAGUCAGGGGAGAAGAGGAUAAAUUAUUUUCAAGCAUGAAGGAAAAGGAAGAACUUAAAGGGGCUGUGGGAAGACUUAGACAGGAAGGAGGUGUAAACAAAAGCCCGGUUAUUCCAUGGGCGAGGGGGGACAGCCUCAAAAAGGUGGAAUCAGUGACACCGUCUAAUAAACAUGUGACCACAGCUACAGGCGCUGUCAAAGUUGAGGAAGUUGAGAGCAGCCAGGAGGUGUUGGAGGAGGCGGUGGAAGCACGAGAGGUGGAGGAUGAUGAGGGAAAGAUGGCGUUUGGAAUUAAACUGCGGUCCACAUCGCUGUCAAUGAAAUGUCAGUCUGACGCCUCUUCUAACAAUGCACCAGUGUGUGAGGAAGUUAAAAGACCAGAAAUAAGAGACAUCCGACCAUCAGAUCCAGCCCCGUCUGGCAUCACCUUUCCACUGAAGAACAACCCUCCAUCUACGGGAAAUGCUCACAUGAUAGCAACAGAAGUACAAACCACCUCCUCAAAUGUAAAAGAAGUUGAAACUGUCGUCCCUGCGCCCCAGGAGCCUCAGCCCGCCCCUCCGACGGCCUCAUCUGAGGUUUCCUGGAUGAGCUUAGCAAUGGAAAAGACCAGGAGCCUCCAGCAGCUUUUUACCAGCAGAUUUCCCAGAGAUUUCACAGGCGGGCCGACAGCUCCUGGACAUCAAGCACAAGCGGAGACAGAGGUGCAGGGUGGAACACAAGCACAGACACAGACUGUAAAAACACAACAAAGCUCAACACCACUAGAGGCUGCAAAUCAGCCUUUAACUGAGGCAGUGAAAGUAGAAACAGAGAAAAGUGGAAGUGAAACACAGACUGUGAAACCAUCAGUCAUUGCAGCGCAACAGAAGAUAUCUCCUGUUCAGACAAACCCCUUUAAAGAUCCACAAACAGCAAAACCAACCAGUGAACCGCUGUCUGCGUCUCAACCUGUUGUGCAGACCAGGACAGCCCAGUCUCCUUUACACUCCUCUGCACAAACAGAGACAUCAUUUCAGUUAACUCAGGGGAGCAUCACACAGUCUCUCGCACAAUCUUACCUUUCCUCCGUUCAGCAGCAACCCUCCUGGAGCAAUCGAGGUCUUAACGUCGCCGACCAGCUCAAAUCAACCUCAGUUUCUACAUCGGCUUCAGCCUCUCCUCCGGUGGCUGCCUUGGGAAGAGGGGAAAAAGAGACCACCGUGCAGGAGAAGGAGGGUCCAUCGCAGUCAGGAAGACGGGCAGCCUGGGCCGGGGCAGUAAGCGAGAAGGCUGCAAAUCAGCCUUCAACUGAGGCAGUGAAAGUAGAAACAGAGAAAAGUGGAAGUGAAACACAGACUGUUAAACCAUCAGUCAUUGCAGUGCAACAGAAGAUAUCUCCUGUUCAGACAAACCCCUUUAAAGAUCCACAAACAGCAAAACCAACCAAUGAACCGCUGUCUGCGUCUCAACCUGUUGUGCAGACCAGGACAGCCCAGUCUCCUUUACACUCCUCUGCACAAACAGAGACAUCAUUUCAGUUAACUCAGGGGAGCAUCACACAGUCUCUCGCACAAUCUUACCUUUCCUCCGUUCAGCAGCAACCCUCCUGGAGCAAUCGAGGUCUUAACGCCGCCGACCAGCUCAAAUCAACCUCAGUUUCUACAUCGGCUUCAGCCUCUCCUCCGGUGGCUGCCUUGGGAAGAGGGGAAAAAGAGACCACCGUGCAGGAGAAGGAGGGUCCAUCGCAGUCAGGAAGACGGGCAGCUUGGCCCGGGGCAGUAAGCGAGAAGGCUGCAUUUUUGGAGAAGCGGGCAGAGUGGAACAAUCCAGCUGGAACCAAGGGGGUUUGUGGUGGAAUUGAAGAAAGCUCAAACAGAGGUGCAGACAUCAGGUGAAUCCCCAUCAGUGAAAACCACGCCUCUAAGCAAAGACGUCAAACCAGAGGGAAGACCAGGGGUAAAACUUGCAGAGUCAAGUCCCACACAAAUUCCAGACAGACCUCGUGAGGACAAAUGGCCACGGAAAACAGUGGUGCCAUCUUCAUCGCCCUCAUCGUCACCUCCUAUGCCAUCAGCGCUGCAGUCUGAGAGCGGCCAGCCCUCCUGGAUGGAGCUGGCCAAAAGAAAAUCAAUGGCCUGGAGUGACAAGUCCAUGGAGUGAGAGGGAAAACAGAAGUAUUGUUAUGUUGAAGAUCUGUUUAAUCGGUCAGAAAAAUGUUGAUUCAUUUUGGUUCAGGCCAUUUUGUUUGUGUUUUUUGUUCAUUUGUUAAGUGUUAAUGUUAAAAUGAGAGACAGAGAAUAUAUUAGGGUGUAAUAUAAUCUGUCCCCACCACAAGCACAUCAAGAUAAAUUGUAUUUCUUAAUGAUGUUUCAUGUGAUUCGGCGUGUUAAUAGUUUACAUUAAAUAAUAAAAGAUUCUAAUGCUC